CCUACGGGUGGCAGCAGUGAGGAAUAUUGGGCAAUGGGCGCAACCCUGACCCAGCCAUGCCGCGUGAGGGAAGAAGGUCUUCGGAUUUUAAAACUCUUUCUGACGUGGCGAUGAUGACGGUAGCGUCUCAAGAAGCACCGUCAAACUUCGUGCCAGCAGCCGCGGUAAUACGGAGGGUGCGAGCGUUGUUCGGAAUUACUGAGCGUAAAGGGAGUGUAGGCGGAUAAGUAAGAUAGCGGUGAAAUGCCGGGGCUCAACCCCGGAACUGCCAUUAUGACUAUGUAUCUAGAGUAAUGGAGAGGAUAGCGGAAUACCUAGUGUAGAGGUGAAAUUCGUAGAUAUUGGGUAGAACACCGGUGGCGAAGGCAGCUAUCUGGCCAUUUACUGACGCUGAGGCUCGAAAGCAUGGGGAUCAAACAGGAUUAGAUACCCCAGUAGUC
rnacentral:rRNA from 1 species